CCCGCUGAGUUUAAGCAUAUCAAUAAGAAGAGGAAAAGAAACUUACAAGGAUUUCCUUAGUAAUGAUGAGCAAUUGGGAAUAACCUAGCCUUAGAAUUAAGAGGCUUUGUCAUCUGAAUUGUUGUCUAGAGAAGUGGCCUCAGCAGUAGAUCGAGCCUAAGUCCCCUGGAAGGGGGCGCCAAAAAGAGUGAGAGCCCCAUUAUGCGUAGACCCCACCACACUAUGAGGUGCUAUCUAUGAGUUGGGUUGUUUGGGAAUGCAUCUAAAAUUAGGUGGUGAAUUUUGUCCAAGACUAAAUAUGGGUGAGAGACCAAUAGCGAAUAAGUACCAUGAGGGUAAGAUAAAAAGUACUUUCAAAAAAUAGUCAAAAAGUGCUAGAAAUUAUCAGGAGAGAAGUGGAUAACGAACGACAAUGCACCCUAGUUGAAUAUGGAAUGGUGGUGAGCCGAUCUACCAAUCGACUCGAGGCAUAGACUAGUGUGGAUUGGGGGUGACCAAAGCUUGGGCUCUCGAUAUGCUCGUGGAACACCGUCUCCUGGAUUGUUGCAGGCAGCAUAAGUCUCUGGUGCCCAUGGUUCUAUGGUGCCUUAUGGCCGUUGGUGCCUUAUGGCAGUCGAUGCCUAUGGUGGUUUAAGACAUUAGCGCAUAGUGCCUUAGGGGCGUACGU
rfam:Capsicum annuum cultivar Zunla-1 chromosome 5, whole genome shotgun sequence